UUUGUCCCUAAAAACACAUUGUAGGUACUUCACCACUGGUUCUUUGUUUGCCCCAGGCUCAUAAUAAUAUCUGUUCCAAUAAUAAUAAUAUAUGUCCCCAAAGACUGACUAUAAAAAAGUAAUCUGUAAUUGUACUGUGGACAAUACAUUUCUUAUACAAUUCAUGAGUGUGGUACAGUUACAUAAUCUUAAAUCAGACACGAGAAAGAAACCAACAUACUAGAACAUUAAAAUAUUACAUAAAAUACAAUAGUGAUACAGCUUGUAAGAGAAAUCUCCUCAGGUAAUCUUUAACAAUAAAACCAUGAAUUCAAGCAGUGUGACAAAACAAAAUAUCAAGUUUCCCAUUAUGCUUUUAUACUCAACCAAUCUCACCAGAAUUACCAAAAGUCACAAAGGAAAAUAGCACUUUCCUUCUCUUCUCAUAAAGAGAUGUCUCUUUUUUUUUCCUCUCUUACACAUCCACUCUUGCUGAUCAGCCAGCCAAAAACUACCCAAAUAAACCUGAAAUGGAAGCCUAAUAAAAGCAUCAGUCUUGAUACUCCUCUAAGCCAGGAUGACCAGGAGCAAAAAAAUAUACACCUAUCUCUAUUCCAGCCUGCUCUCCUGGUUCCAGGAGCUUCUUCUUUCAAGCUAGACAUAACAUGGCACCUCUCACUCACCAUCUGGCUUUGCACUGCUUUGCUGAUUUCCUGUGCAAUAACGAAGCAAUACGAGACCACUGGUUUUUGCCAUAUUUCAUAACAGCUGCUUUCAGAAUUUCAUCCUUAAAAGAAAAAUAAAUAAACACUGUUAUGGAUCACAAAAACUUGCAAAACAGAAAAUGUGAGCUCAACCAAAGGAGAACACAGUGUAUUUCAUCUAACAGGUGACCCAGUGGAAACAGCACAGCACUGCUGCUUCUUUCCCACAUUUGAUUCUCAAGAUGAAUAUGGAUUUGUAUUUCGAAGGCCAAUGAAAUCAAUAAAGAUUAAAUGAAAAAGACA